AAGCAGUUGACUAGAUAGUUCUGGCUUGAGAUAAAAGUGGUUCCAAAUACUGGGCGGUUCUUGAGUCAGAUGAAAGACAGGCUGGAGGAGCCUCUUCCAAGAGGAAGAUAUUUGAUGACACCCUGUUGUUGCCCCGUGUCAUGGAGAUUCAGCAGCUUUGGAUCCGCAGGAACAGUCCUAUCACAUGCUCCAGCAGUUCAUAAAUGUGGUAGAUACUGGGGAAAACUCACCAAGCCCGAGCUCCUCGAGCUGAAGACUUGAAAUCCCACCGAUCCCUACGCUGGAAAUCUUUGCCCUGGAAAACUUUGCCCCCUGAGAAUUUCUAUGCCUACUGCUUGAUUCGCAGCUGCUUCUCCCUGGAGCAGAGGCAGACUCUCUCCAGGACUUUUCCCUCCCAAUAAAUGUAUGUGAGGUUUGCUGUGCUGUGUGACGUUGUAGAGCUGCAACACCUUCCCUGGAGCAAAGCUGAGCAGAAGUCUUACACUUUUGCUGGGGAAACCCUUCCUUCCCCAGGGGAGCAGAGCUGCCACGCUUCCUUCCGUAAGGGAUGCGGUUCUCAGCAGCGCUGCGCAGUUUUCAGUUGGUUAUCUCCAAAGCCACCUCUCUUCAUAGUGGGAAACGGGAGAGAAAGAGCAGCAGAAAGUUGUGGCAAACUGUGGCAAAACUGAGUUGUGCAGAGGCUUUUUAAUUCCAUGGAAACCACUCGCUAAAGUUCUUGAUAUUCUUCCCUGCACCAGUGGAGCCUUGUUCAGAAGGUCCCUGCCUCUGCCUGUAUCUUGACCUGUUCCUCCUCCCUCCCCACAACCUUGUUAGCUUCAAAGUUUCAAGCUUUACUCAAGAUCUUUGAUCCAUUUUGACUUGACUUUUAUACCGGGUGAGAAAUAAAGACGUAGUUCCCUGUGUCUACAGUCGGACUCCAGUGUCUACAGGCAGACUCCAGUUUCCUCACUAGCUGUUUUGAAGAGACUAUUUCUUCUCCAAUAUGUUUGCUGGCUUUGUUGUUGUCUGUUUUUGGUUUGGGGGCAUCUUUUUUUAAAAGAGAAAAGAUAACUACAGCUGUGUGGGCUUAUUUGUUUGUUUGUUUGUUUGUUUGUUUGUUUUACACAAGGCAUGUAGCCCUGGCUCCUGGAACUCUCAAUAUAGACCAGGUUAUCCUUAAACUUACACAGGUAUGCCUUGCCUCUGCCCCCAUUAAUGCAGGAAUUAUAGAUGUGUGCCACCACACUCAGGCUCUAUUUCUAUUCCUUUGUUGCUAUUUCCACUGCAGAGACUGGGCCCUUCCCCCAGCCUUGAGGGGGCUAGUUCAGACCUUGUUUGCCACAGUCUGCUAGCUCACCUAGAGUGGAGUCUUCCGACCUAGGUGAAGUUUAUUGUCCUGUCACAUCUGCAGCUUCCUGCAAGAAGCCACUACCUGCUGAGCAGCUGAGCUUGUCUUUCUGACAAGAUACUGACAAACUGACAGCAACGAUAAGAUACUGGCAGAGCAGCCGGGCGUGGUGGCGCACGCCUUUAAUCCCAGCACUUGGGAGGCAGAGGCAGGCGGAUUUCUGAGUUCGAGGCCAGCCUGGUCUACAGAGUGAGUUCCAGGACAGCCAGCGUUACAC